GACGAACGCUGGCGGCGUGCCUAAUGCAUGCAAGUCGAGCGGGCUACGAUCUUCGGAUUGUAGCUUAGCGGCGAACGGGUGAGUAACACGUAGGUGAUCUACCCUUCAGAGGAGGACAACCUCAGGAAACUGAGGCUAAACCUUCAUACGUUCACUGGUAGGGAUACUGGUGAAGAAAGAGUUACCUUAGUGGUAGCUGCUGAAGGAUGAGCCUGCGGCCCAUCAGGUAGUUGGUGAGGUAACGGCUCACCAAGCCGAAGACGGGUAACCGGUCUGAGAGGAUGUCCGGUCACACUGGGACUGAGACACGGCCCAGACUCCUACGGGAGGCAGCAGUCGAGAAUAGUCUACAAUGGCCGGAAGGCUGAUAGUGCGACGCCGCGUGAACGAGGGAGCCCUUCGGGGUGUAAAGUUCUUUUCUAUACGAGCAGUGCUAUAUAUAUGGAUAGUAUAUAUAGAGGGAUAGUAGUAUAGGAAUAAGCAACGGCU
rnacentral:rRNA from 1 species